rnacentral:rRNA from 1 species
UACGAAGGGGGCUAGCGUUGCUCGGAAUUACUGGGCGUAAAGGGAGCGUAGGCGGGUCGUCAAGUUGGGGGUGAAAGCCCAGGGCUCAACCUUGGAAUUGCCUUCAAAACUGACGAUCUAGAGUAUGGAAGAGGUAAGUGGAACUCCGAGUGUAGAGGUGAAAUUCGUAGAUAUUCGCAAGAACACCAGUGGCGAAGGCGGCUCACUGGCCCGGUACUGACGCUGAGGUGCGAAAGCGUGGGGAGCAAACAGG